GAUCAACUCCAAACCCAGCACAGGUAAAUUUCGAUUCAGUAGUGGAACCACUAAUUCAGACAUUCAGUAUUGUGUUGCAUAGCUGAAUAUAUCUUCAGAGUUCAGACUGUGAACACUUAUCUUCAGAGUUCAGAGUUCAGAGUUAAAGCUAAAUGGCCAAAACAGGCGCAGGGUUAGUCACAAUCAUAACAAUGGCUGGGUUUAGUUUUGUAUGCCACAAACCAAAGAACUAACUGUGCAUACAAGAUUACAAACAUCACCUUGGAAGAUCACCGAUCAGUUCGGACAUGUCGGUGGUCCGGUGUGUUCCCUUGUCGAACAAUACAACAACCGAAGAUGAUCCUCCAUUGUUAAUUACUAUGUGCAUAGCUGUUGUCUUCAGGACCAUUGGUUGUGUGCCAGCUGAAGUCUUCAUUUACCAAGUAUGCAUUUUAUUUCUAUCUACAAAAGUAAGCAUGAAUUCUGGCGGACGGUGCCCGCUAAAGUUUUUUUUCUUUCCAAAAUGCCAAUUGAAGUUAGUUUGAGCCAUCAGAACAUGUCACUUGGAGCAAAAUACUGACAGUCAAAGGCUGCUUAAUUGGACCAUACACAUCCAAAGCUCGUUCCUCACAGAAUUACUACAAUGGUAUAAGUGUUCUACUUCUACCAAAGAAACAAUGCCGUGUGUGGCGAUUUCUCCAGCAUGUCAAAUCAAAUGAUAGGAUUAUUGCUCUGUAACUGGCUAACUUAUUACGACAAUGUGCGGGUUAAAUAUUUAGUGUUGCAUAUCCCAAACAAAAGAAUUGAAUGUGCAUCAAAUACAAACAUCAUCUUGCAAGAUCUUCAACCAGCUCAGGCAUAUCGAUAGUCCCACGUGUUGUCUCGUUCAAAGGGACAAUCACUGAAGGUGAUGCUCCAUAACUACGUGCAAAGCAAUUAUGUUCACAAGCACUGGUGGCGUGCGAAUAGAGUCUCCUCAUCAUAUCUAGUCUCUCUGCAACUUCCUUCAUUGUUGGCCUGUCAUCUCCCCUCUGGCUAAGGCAGUGAACUGCGAGUUCACCCAUGUUCCCAAGGACCACCAUACCCGCGUCAUCUGUAAUUUCAGAGUCCAGCAUAACGUGGUGCGUCUUCCGAUGAAACAUCAAGGGAAAACUAUAUGACAGUGAGUGCUUUCCAUUAAAGUUGUCGGUAUAUAUAGCCCUCUUUCGUGUCAUUAGCUCGAGAAGAACAACUCCGAAACUGUAUACAUCGCUUUUCUCAGUGAGAAGAUGGCUGAUAAAGCUCUCAGUGUCAAGGUAUCCCAGUGUUCCAUGGACAAACAUGAUGAACUCACUUUCAUCCAUUGACUUAAGUGCUGAUGCUCCGAAAUCAGCAACCUUUGCAUUGAGCUUGUCAUCCAAGAGAAUGUUGGCAGACUUGACAUCACCAUGUAGGGUUGUGCGAGAUGUGGAUGAAUGUAAGUAAGCUAGAGCUUCUGCUGACUGUGUAGCAAUCUUCAGGCGAAUAGCAAGGGGAAUUGGCAAUCUACGAUCAGCACCGUGAAGGAACUGGGAUAGAGUACCAUGGGAGACAAACUCGUAGACCAACAUUGGGACAUCCACAUCCAGACAACAGCCUGGUAACCUCACAAUGUUUCGGUGAUUAUAAUCUCAUUGACAAAUUCUUCUCUCCAAUCAUCAUUGAUUGCUUUGGACUUCUUUAUGGCGACCUCUUUUUGAUCAUCCAAAGUUCCUCUGUAGACCACCACAUCCAAUAACUCGAUCUUCAUUGUAGUUGUCAGUGGCUCUCUUUAUCUCUUUCUCCGUAAGUAUGCGGAUUGUGUCAACCUGCUUUGACCUCAUCUCAUCGUAUAACUUGAGACCCCCAUUUUGUCUGAAAUACUCAUCUUUCUCCCUCUUGUGCCUUUUUAUUUGAGAUUGCAUGAGUAGCAAGCAUGCUAAGGUCAUCACCGAAGUUGCAGAAAUACUGAGCCCUGCAAAUGUAUAUUUUUCAGAAACUAACACUAAUAUAUUUCUAUAACAAAUUUUGAGCUCACUAUUCAUCUUUUGGUUGUAUAAGUAAUACUUUUUAUUGUUACAUGAAUGUUAGUUAUUACAAUGCAUAUGUUAAUGUAAAUAAAAGUAUGAAAAGGGAUUCACUGUUUGAAUAAAUGAUGCGUACCAAUGACCAAUUUUUGAUCUGAAGACAACAGAGAUCGGCAUCCAAAUUUUGUACCAUCAGGUCGUGUUCCUCUCUUGCAUAUGCAAGAGUAGUUCCCGGGUGUGUUGUUACAGACCCCUUGUCUGCAUGGAUACAAAUCUUCAUACUUGGGAUCCUGCUUACGCAAUGUGCACUCGUCUAUGUCUGAAGAUAACAUUGGAAACAUCUACUCAGAAGUGUAAAUCUGAAACAUGAAUUCACUAUGCUUUCACUGUUGCAUGUUGGCUAAAGAAAGAUUCAGGAAGUAAUGAAUCCAUGUUUUCAAUUCAAUAUGCAAUGCUGCAACUAUGCUUCACAUAACAUCUUCGAAAUUAAUAUUACACUGUGCAUUAACAACUUAUAUCAGAUUUUUUUUUGCUUGCCAGUUCUCUGUGAUGGUAUGGUGGAAAUCAAAGCUACAUGAGGUAAAAUCGCAACCCACAUAUUGGAAAGUCUUCAUAUAUAUGUUUUGUGAAAGUGUAUCUGGGUUUAACUAACACUGCAUAUUGUUUAUAGUUCCAUCUGUUUUCAGUGUAAUAUCCAUGGAAAUCUAGAGAACUUAAACUAAAGUAAAUACUUAACCUUGACAGCCAUUCAGAAGAUAAGGAUUUCCCUCAUAUCCUCCGGAGCAUUGGCAUAAGUAUCCUGGACCAUUGUUCGCGGCCAUGCAAUAGCUGUUUGUACUAAUGCAAGCAUAGUCAGUAGGUGUGUCUUUCCCCUUCUCCGGGCAUGAGCCAUUCCUAAUGGCCCAGUCGACAACAACGGCAGCACCUCUCUUAGCUCGACCAUCGAUGAACCCAAGAGUGUCGGCAAGGUCCUGCUGCCUGAAGGUGUACCACCCAACCUCAGCCACCAUGGCGUAGAAGCAUGGGUUGAAGCUCCAUACCCUGCUCUGUGUCACCUCAAAUUUGAUCUCCAAGGAGGUGAGGUUGGUGGGGAUGGCAACCUCACAACAGCCCAUCCCAUUGCAUGGCGCGCCCUCAGACGUGUUGUUGAUGCCCUCGCAAUUCGAGUAGCAACCAGUCACAUACUGGCCCGCGGUUUCUUUGUAGCCGGUGAUGAGCCCAAGGGUGUUGCAGCCAAUGACUGUGAAACGGUUGUGUGACGGUGACGGGAGGAAGGGCGUGUGCUUCAGAUCGUACCCUGUGGUGAACUUGGUGAAUGUGGUGUUCGACGUGAAGCAGAUGUGGUUGACGGGGCUGUAUAGGUGCAUCUCGCCAUUCUUCAGUGAGAUGUCGGCAAUCUCAGCUGCUACAUUCGGAUCACCAACAGUUGGCCUUGGUGGAUCGACCGUGCUGUCGCAGUCGAGGUUGAAGUAGCUGUUGAGGCUGAUUGCAGCACAGUGCGCGCCAAUCCCAAAGGGGUAUGGGAUGGAUACGUCGCCGCACUUGUCAGGGCAAGCUGGUGACGACAUGGAGUGUCCAGAAGAGGCUCGGGCAAGUGUUCCCACUGCUGGGCAGAAGAUACUUGCUAUGAAGAUUACCAUGACUGUCGAUGCUCCUGCCAUAGUUGGAUGCCAGUUAGCCAUGUUACAUGUAUGCAAACACCACAUUAGCUGGACAGGGUUAAAUCAAUAUGGAGUAGGUUUGUCACCAGAAAUAACUAAAUGGAAGUUCCUCUAGCCAUACCAUGACCGCCACAUCCAAUAACUCGAUUUUCCUUGUAGUUGUCAGUGUCUCUCUUUAUCUCUUUCUCUGUAAGUAUGCGGAUUGUGUCGACAUGCCUUGACCUCAUCUCAUCAUAUAACUUGAGACCUCCAUUUUGUUUGAAAUACUCAUCUUUCUCCCUCUUGUGCCUUUUUCGUUGAAAUUGCAUGAGCAGCAUGCGUGUGAAGGCCAUCACCGCAGUUGCAGAAACACAAGCACUGAGGCCUGCGAUAAUAUAUUUGUGAGGAACGGAUGCUUGUAAAUUUCUAUUAGAAUUUGGACUUUGCUAUUUUCCUUUUGGCUGCAACUUGUAAGCAGUGUUCAGAGCUAAUAUUUUUGUUUCUGUUACAUCAUUUUUGCUAUGGAAGCACACAUUUUGUAGAUGAAAGCAUGAACAUAGAUACACUGCUUAUAUAAACGAGGCUUACCAAUAACCAAUUUCCCACCAACCAUUGGGCGUGGUGAAUCGAUCGUGCCGUUGCAGAUGAGGUCGAAGAAGUAGGUGCUCUGGCUGCUCGCGGCGCAGUCUUCCCUAAUGCCGAAGGGAUAUGGGAUAGGCGCUUCUCCGCACUUGUCGGGGCAGCCUGGCAACGACAUGGAGCGGUCGGAUGAGGCUCCGGCCGCUGCUGCCAUUGCUGGGAAGGAGAUGCAUACUAUGAAAACUAGCAGGGCUGCUGAUGCUCCUGGCAUGACUGGAUGCCAACAACCCAGUUAAAUCAGUAUGUGGUAUAUAUGCUUGUCUCUAGAAAAGAAAAAGUUGCAAGUUGCCAUGUGAUUCAUCUGAGAGAGUCUCCAGCAGUGUCAGUCAACUAGCACAAGUGGUAUCACUAUACCAGAGCGUACGUUAACACGCAGAGAGACUUUGGCCGUGAUUGUGUGCUUACCUUUAUUUCGAGUUGCUGCUUUUGUCAAUGGUUUCACACCCCUCAUCUGAUCUUCUAUCGUUUCCAGGAAAUGAGAUGGUUUGGUGUCGGUGGUAACGUGAAGGAGGGUGAAUCAUUGUAGAUUGGCUUGGUUGAAGUCUACACAUUAAAAAAAACAAGGUGAGAACACCCCGGUUCCAACUUCGCAUUAGAAAAGAAGAAUUCUGUAGCAUACACAUACGCUCUUGUGUUGGAUGGUACUUUUAUUUUGGUCAGCUGGAUCAUAUCAACAUUCAUGUAUUGAGAAGCAUGAGAAAACCAGGAGUGAGUGGUGAGUUUUCUUGAUUCGCCAAUGUGCUGGCUUGCAUUCUCAGAGGCUGGUGACUAUUAGUCUGGUCAGCUGGAGCAUGAUAACACUCAUCACUAUGAGGAGAAUAAGGAGACCAGAGGCGAGAGGUGAGUUCCCUAGAUUGUUAAAAAAAAAUAGUGCUGUUGCGGCGGUGCAGCACGGAGCAGUGCUCACACCUCCACGGGCUGUGGCUUCUGGGGCCGGUCCUCGAGCUUCGGCCAAGAAAUCCAGUUAUGCACAUAGUAUGUAUAGUUCCUGAUGAUUGAUUACUAUUAAUUGGUUGGAAUGGCUAUUGCGUGGCCGAGGCAUUUGGGGAAGAUUAUUUUUGUUGGUGUGGGGCUUGCCAGGCGCUUGGCGUUGGGUUGCUCAUGUACUCUAUGUAGAUCGUUCCUGACAGUAGCAGUUUGCUGUUGUUUGCUAGUUGAUGAAUUAGGAGUUGCUUUUGUAGUAGCAGUUGUAGAUCUAACCUUGCUGGCCUUGUCGUGCCCGGCAAAACAACUAUGAAUGAAUGAAUGGAUGGAUGGUUUCAUGGUGCAUCAAGAUGUAACCAAUUGUUUUAACUCUUUUUUUCUCUGUGCCCCCUGUCUUCUCGUCGGAACAUCGUAAUAAACAGUACAUUGUAGGUCUUAUUCACUCAGUGUUACCAAAUGUGAGGUGAUCUUUUCAGGCUGUGGGAAAGAGCUGUUCAGUUAACUGAAUGCUAUCUAGAGCUGUUGCAGGUGUGAUGCAGAUGUUCAGUUCUUGCAGGUGGGAGGUGUUAUCUAGAGUUGUUGUGCUCUUGGCUGCUCGGUGAUGGGGCAUGGAGCAUGGGGUCGGGGCACCAGACCAGACCAGAUCUGGUUUGUUUAACUGAAUGCUGCGACGAUGCUACAGUCCCAGGAUCUCGCGAGGCCAGGAGCAAGCUGGUGAUGGAUGAACAUCAACAAGCUGACAUUGCCAUGUCCUGCUGGUGCUGGUUCAAGACCGAGGGAGGGAGCGGCGACAGCAGCACGCCGGUGGCUCGUUCUGGCAGCGGUAAUGGUCUUUUCGUGGCCUCGGAAUCUUGGUGUAAUUUCUGUUAUAUUUGAGGUGCUUUGUAUUUUCGAUGAACUUUGAUAAUAGAUCUAGAUUCUUCUUGAAAAAAAGGAAGUUUGAGGUCUA
rnacentral:lncRNA from 1 species